rnacentral:lncRNA from 1 species
UGUAACACAAUACGAUUACUAUUUACUUAAUAGGAACCUAACUCUAAGACAUAAAAGGAAAAAGACACAUUCAGAACAAUACUAGACAGAUUCAUUAAUCAACAAUGUUAGAAAGUUAAAAAGAAUGAAACAGAUGCCUAAAAUAUCAUUUCUACUUAUUCAAUGACCAAAUCAAAUGCUGGAAUCAUAAAGGAACCAUAAACGAACAUAAAGCAACUCAGAAUUUAAAACUGAAAUGUAAAAUCAACGAUAUAGCAAGGAAAGUAAAAUCAAGUACAAAAAUUAACCGAACAAGCUCAAAUAAAAAGUGAAUCGAAACUGAAAAAGUACUUUAUUGGAAACUAAAUUCAGAAUUACAAAUACCAGAGUUUCUCAGAUAACCAAUGUCUAUCACCCAAUGGAAAAUCCAAGAACCCCAUUCCAAGAAGCAAAGUAUCUACUCCUACGAAAGCUGUAAAGAAAUCUACACUAAAGCAUGGAACCGAGAAUCUAUAGUGGUGUCUGUCACCCACCACCUGUACAUUGUUCAUUACAAAGACUUCCUUUUAUAGGAAAAACAAAAACAGAAAAAGAAAAGAAAAUGGGAAAGGGGGAAGAAUCUAGAAACAAACACUGAAGCUUCUGGAGUAUCCUUCAACUAACUCUGACCAAGUUCUCCAAUCGUCAAUCCAGCUCAGCAUAGCUUAUCGGACCGAUCAACAUCUUAUUCCAAUCAGCUUCUGGACUGGCUUCCUUUUGGGCCGAUCAUCCUCCUGGCAAAUGGCGCAUGGUCCAGCUUCUCUUCAUCUCUCUCGCUCUUGUCAAGCCCUAGGUUGAAGAUUGAAGAAAUUUGGGAAUGAAGCCCUCUUCAUGAACCUUUUUCCUUCAAUUAGAGCUUCUAAUCACAGCAACACAAAACGGUGUCGUUCUACUUAAUUGGAAUCAGCCCAAAGGCCCAUAAAUCUUCAUUCCAUUCACUCACAGCAGCCUCGUGGGCUUGUGGAAACUACUGCACCCAGCCAUCAUCACAAUGGUGCAAAUUUGCUCUCUAAUUAGUGCUGGCCCAUUAAUGACCUUGCCCAGUAUAUUUUCAGCAUCAGCCCAUAUUUUUUUUAUUCCUGCAACAUCAUAAAAGAAUAAACUGGUAAAAAAAAUAUGAAAAAUAAAGCCUAAGAAAAAUUAAAUUUUAUUUUUAAUUUUUUGAAUGUUUUUCUACAAGAGAAAACACCUAAUUAUUUAAAAACCUAUUUUAUUUAACUAAAAAUACAAAAUUAACACUAUUUUAACAAAACUCUAAAAUUAAAGAAAAAAAUGCUAAACUAACCUAAUUCUAGAGAAUAAGAAGCUAAAAUACACUAAAAUAAACUUCUAAGACAAGAAAAAGGGAUAAAUUUAGAGAGUUAACAAGGAGAAAAGAAGGACUUUGAAAAAAUUAGAUGCGUUCAAAAGAAGACAAGCGCAAAAGAUUAAAAGAGCAUAAGAGAAAGAAACACUUAUUGAAAUUGAAGAAAGAGAAAGAAACACUUAUUGAAAUUGAAGAAAGAGAAACUAGAGGAAAAUAAGAGAAAGAAAAGAGAGGGCAAAUAAAGAGAAAAGAGAGAAAACAAAUAGAAAGAAAAGAGAGAAAAAAAGAGAAAGAAAAGAAAGAAAAGAAAGAAAAAAAAGAAAAAAAAGAGAAAGAAAAGAGAGAGAGAGAAAAAAAAAGAAAGAGAUGGGAAAGAAAAUAGAGAAAAAAAAGGAGAAAGAAAAGAAAGAGAGAAUGAUAGAGUAUCCUGAUUUGUCAUUAAAAGAAAAUAUUAAUUGCCCUCUAUUUGUUAGGCUUCCUAGGAAAUAUUUCUUUAUCAAGGAACCAUAACAUCAAGCAUGGAAGGAAGAAAAUAUUACAAAAAAGGAAGACAGAAGCCUGGAACUCAAAGAACC